AUUGAACGCUGGCGGCAGGCCUAACACAUGCAAGUCGAACGAGUGGCGGACGGGUGAGUAAUGUCUGGGAAACUGCCUGAUGGAGGGGGAUAACUACUGGAACCGGUAGCUAAUACCGCAUACCAUCGGAUGUGCCCAGAUGGGAUUAGCUAGUAGGUGGGGUAAAGGCUCACCUAGGCGACGAUCCCUAGCUGGUCUGAGAGGAUGACCGGCGACACUGGAACUGGGACACGGACAAGGGUCCUACGGGAGGCAGCAGUGGGGAAUAUUGCGCAGUGGGCGGGAGCCUGAUGCAACCAGGCAGCGUGUAUGAAGGAGGCGUUCGGGUUGUAAAGUACUUUCGGCGGGGAGGCGUUAGCCGCAGAAGAAGCACCGGCUAACUCCGUGCCAGCAGCCGCGGUAAUUC
rnacentral:rRNA from 1 species